ACAGAAUUAAAAGAUUGUGAGAACUAGCCCACUGAGUAAUGAGAAGUGAAUGCAGCAGCGUUUCAGAGUGCUGGCUGACAGGAGAAGUCAGAAUAUAUUAUUAAAAGACAAAGAGACACAUUAUCUGCUUGAGUGCUGAAGAUGGGUCACCCUCCAGGCAGCAGCUGAUCAAAAGAAGCGUUAAGGUUCUAUUUCUUCUCUGAUGCAGAUAGACUACAGUUUGAAGACCAAAGAAACAGAGAAGCUUCAAUACUGUCACGUCUUUCAAUUCAAAUUGCUUUCCCCUUCACUAUAGUAUAUAUUGAUUUUUCCAAUGCUAACUUCAUCUCUCCCCCGCGCCCCGUACCAGAUUAAAGUCUGGAGGGUAUUACAUUUGGCACGGAAGGAGGAGAUAAAAGAAAAGAAAAAAGAGCCCUCCCCCCACAUGGUUUGUUGAAGAGGUUCAGGACAU